AGGUGGCGAAGCAUCCUCCAAGUGGAAGGAAACCACCAAUCAGUGUGCGCGUCUCUACGCGAGGCAACAUGUUCUGUUUUAGUGGUUUUGGUCGUCAUAGCGAGGCGAAGUGUUUGGCAAUUUGUAUCCCAAGUCAGGAGUUUGUGAGCCUUGCGAUGACUCGAGGGUUGAGUGGUGUGUGUCCCUCC